rnacentral:rRNA from 1 species
UACGAAGGGUGCAAGCGUUACUCGGAAUUACUGGGCGUAAAGCGUGCGUAGGUGGUUGAGUUAAGUCUGUCGUGAAAGCCCCGGGCUCAACCUGGGAAUGGCGAUGGAUACUGGCUCGCUAGAGUGCGGUAGAGGAGAGUGGAAUUCCUGGUGUAGCAGUGAAAUGCGUAGAGAGUCGGGAGGAACAUCAGUUGCGAAGGGCGGCUCUCGUGGACCAGCACGUGACACUGAGGCACGAAAGCGUGGGGAGCAAACAGG